GUAAAGCGAGUGCGGGAAAAUAAAUAAGAUAAAGACAAGUAAUAAAAACCUGCUCCAAUCGGAGGGUUGAGUAAAUUGCAAGCGGAAAUGAAAAUGGCGGCAGGAUUAACUUUCUUCCAAAUAAGAAAGGGGUUCUGGCCCUAACCUUUUACAGACGCUGUGGCGGGCGCCACAAGGCAAAAUCUGGUCGGGCCGGAUUUUGGUCCUUUGACUUGG
rnacentral:lncRNA from 1 species